rnacentral:rRNA from 1 species
CUGGUUGAUCCUGCCAGUAGUCAUWUGCUUGUCUCAAAGAUUAAGCCAUGCAUGUGUAAGUAUGAGUAUUGUACAGCGAAACUGCGAAUGGCUCAUUAAAACAGUUAUAGUUUAUUUGAUAAUCGAAAGUUACAUGGAUAACCGUGACAAAUUACAGCUAAUACAUGCAUCAAGACCCCGCAAGGGGUUGUAAUUAUUAGUAUUAAACUAAUUCCUUCGGGAAUGUGAUGAAUCAUAAUAAUCGAACGAAUCGUARAACUCUACGAUAAAUCAUUCAAGUUUCUGCCCUAUCAGCUUUGGAUGGUAGUGUAUUGGACUACCAUGGCAAUUACGGGUAACGGAGAAUUAGGGUUCGAUUCCGGAGAGGGAGCCUGAGAAACGGCUACCACAUCUACGGAAGGCAGCAGGCGCGAAAAUUGCCCAAUCCUGAUUCAGGGAGGCAGUGACAAGAAAUAACAACUCUCAACAUUGUUGAGAAGUGUAAUGAGGAUAAUUUACAAACCUUACCGAAAGCAAUUGGAGGGCAAGUCUGGU